GCCAGCAUGGUGUGGUGGUUCGAGCGUUGGACUAGAACUCUGGAGACCAUGGUUCGAUUCCCAGUUUGGUCA